GAGAUGGACGGCAUCCACUUCAAACUGCCUACCACGUGAGUAACCUGGCAGGGAAGCUGCAAGCCUCCAACACGGAGUGUCUGCUGCCAGCCUUCAGCUCCCUGUACUGCUGUCUGUGCCUGUCCCUCCCCCUCACUGCACUGACAGAGCUGUGUCCAUGCUGCUGUGUAACGCCGGGCUGAUGGAACAACUGCAGGCUACGCUGGACCUCUCCUCUUCCCUCUCUCCUCCGUCUGCCCUGCUGUGCUGCUCUCGUCUGCCCUGAUGUGCUGCUCUCGUCUGCCCUGAUGUGCUGCUCUCGUCUGCCCUGCUGUGCUGCUCUCGUCUGCCCUGAUGUGCUGCUCUCCUCUGCCCUGAUGUGCUGCUCUCCUCUGCCCUGAUGUGCUGCUCUCGUCUGCCCUGCUGUGCUGCUCUCCUCUGCCCUGAUGUGCUGCUCUCGUCUGCCCUGCUGUGCUGCUCUCGUCUGCCCUGAUGUGCUGCUCUCGUCUGCCCUGCUGUGCUGCUCUCGUCUGCCCUGCUGUGCUGCUCUCCUCUGCCCUGAUGUGCUGCUCUCGUCUGCCCUGAUGUGCUGCUUUCCUCUGCCCUGAUGUGCUGCUCUCGUCUGCCCUGC